UAUUUCAGUCACUUUUCUGUUAUUAUUAUGAUUAAUGAUUAUGCAUGCUUUUCAUCUGUUAUCAGUUCUGAGAACUGAGUUCUGUUUAGUUUUAUUCAAAUUGUAUAAAAUAAUUAUACUUCUGAGAGUUUUGCCGUGGUUGCCUUUCACGCGUUUCAGUCACAACAAUUGGCGACGAGGGUAUUUGGAGUAAGUAGAUAAGUAGAUCUAUCUACUUAUCUUCUACUUGUCACCUCCUUUUCACUCACUUCACAUAGUCUGGCAACGCAUGGCAAAAUGUCAUCGUUUGACGCCACUAAGGAUUCGUGGACGUCCUACAUAGAAUGAUAGAACGACUUCAGUUCAGUCUACUUCAAGGCCAAUGGAAUCACAGAUGGUGAUGUCCAGAAGCUAGCUAUAAUCUUUAUCAUAGUCAUUGGUGCUCGUACCUGAACUACUGAAGAGUAUAUUGCAGCAUGAUUGCAGCCACAGUCACUGCAAGAGGAUGCAGUUACACUGUAGGCCAUCUGGCCAUGACCGACAAGCCGGCUGAGGGAUCACUUCAGUCCCAGACCAUCCCCUAUCACUCAGAGAUACAAAUUCCACACAAGAGUGAGGAACCCUGAUAAAACAGUUGCCACUUAUGUGGCAGAGCUGAGGGCAACUGGAAGCAGCAGCAGCUCAGGACUCCUUCAAGCUGUCAGAACAGAAACCAGGCACUCUACCGGUUCAUACAAUGCAGAAGAAAGAUCAUAGCAAGGUGGAAUGUUAUCAUGUAGGUGUGGAGGCAGUCAUUAUGCCAACAAAUGCAGGUUCAUAGAUUCUGAAUGCAGAGUAUGUGGAAAGAAAGGUCAUUUGGCUAGAGUGUGCCGUAUCAAUUAAGGAGAAGCAACAAUCAAACCAUAGAAAUCCACCUAAAGGGAAACCUGCAAAACUACCUAUCACAACAAGCAGCACCCAACUCACACCCUGGACCACCACAAACCACGUCCUCCUUCACCUGCAGACUCUGAAGACUAUCCUUUAUUUACAUUGCCUUCCAAUAUCAAACCAAUAGUGGUCACAGUUCAAAUAAACAAGGCUGAUCUUAAGAUGGAGCUAUAGACACUGGUGCUUCUUUGUCAAUCAUUAGUGAAACCACAUACUCCUCCCUGUCUCAUAUACCCUUCCUCAACUUUCCCAAUCAAAGGUGACCCUAUCAACAUACACUGGUGAGAAGAUCACUCCCCUGGGUACCAUUGAUGUUCAAGUCUAAUAUCAAGGACAGGAAAUCUCAGGCUGCCUCUAUUGGUUGUUCCAGGAAAUGGUUCAAGAAUACUUGGUUGUAACUGACUGGAACACAUAAAACUUAAUUGGUCAGAAAUUAAUACUGUUAAUUUUUCUUUUUCCUCCUUAGGUACAAUUUUAGGAAACCAUUCAUCCAUAUUUCGUUCAGAGUUCGGGAGACUACGAGACAUUUCUGCUAAACUUCAUAUUCCGUCCGAUGCUAAACCACGGUUUUUUUGAGCUCGACCAGUCGCUCAUUCACUCAAGGAGAAAGUUCUUCAGAAAAUCAGUCGAUUACAGGAGCUGGGAGUGAUCACUCCAGUUAAACAUUCUGAGUGGGCAGCACCGGUUGUUCCCAUAGUAAAAGAUGAUGGCUCUAUGAAGUCACGAUAAACCCAGUUCUCCUCAGUGAUACAUACCCAUUGCCUCGACCUGAGGAUCUAUUUACAGCUCUGGCAGGUGGGAAAGUUGUGUCAAAACUAGAUCUCAAACACGCUUAUUUGCAAGUACCUUUGGAUCAUGCAUCUAAGACAUUAACUACUAUAAACGUAAAUUAUAGCAUCCCGCCCAUGCUUGUGCCAAAUUGCAACUCCCUGCUGACCAGCAAUCCCAGUCAAAAAUGAUCCACUGAAUGGAUAACCAGGAUAAACGUGAUCAUAAUUAUUGUUGCAAAUGAAGCACAGCAUUGGCUGUUAGCAUGUCACAGACUCCGUAAAUAUUUGCUAUAUCCAGAUUAGGAAAACAAAUGAUAAGCAUUUUUUGCAGCCACAGCAAAGUCUCCAUUUUAUCACCGGUUUCUUUCAUUACUUUAAAUGGAUCAGCGAAAAAAGAAACAUCACGAAUGUCUGUGAUCACCAAAUAAUCUAUGUCGGGGUUAUUCAGCAAAUAAUCAUAAAGAAGGUACAGUCUUUGAUCGUGGGAAAUGUGCAUAUUCACAGGGUCUUUAUGUUUAAUAUGGCAUGAUGGACAUGCAGCUAGAAGCUUCUCGACAACAUCAUCACUCAAUGUAUUAUGAAUAAUGAGAAUGUCUGCUUCAGGAGCACUCCUCAUUGCUGAUAUAAGAAAAAUUUUAAAAUAUUUAUAAUUAUUGAAAUGAGCAUGAGACGGCCAAAAAGCUUUAGUUUCUUUAAAAAUUAACACAGCUCCCGAAAUUACAUUUUUUUCUUUUUGAGGCUUCUUGUAUAACUUUUAUUCCAUGAUGUGGUAACAGGUCCUCCUUCUUUGUCUUUUUGACACUUAGUAGUGAAAUCAUAUGUCAGUCAUAAAUCCAGGUGAAAUGGCAUGAGUUAUUUUUCUAACAAGGUGAACCACACUUUUAAUAUACCAACAAGCAUUAGAAAAUUUAUCAGUUUCCAUGGACCAAAGACUCCAUUAACUUUAAUCAAAGUUGCACCUGUCUUCAAAACAUUACUGUGAUAUGAGUGAAUAUAUAACUGCUCUAGGGUUGAAGCCAAGUCUUGUGAAUUAAACUUGAGCUCAAAACUUUAUCAACUGUGGACAGCAAUAUGACCUGAUUGAUGGAACUAAGGCACUUUUGAAAUAAGAAGCAAAAGUUUUUGAAAGUGUGCCAAAGUCAAUGAUCCUAACUGAUAUUGUUUAAUGGGUCAUUUGCCAUUGUUUCCAUGUCUAUUAGUGCUGUAAGUGCAUACAACACAGUAUAGUUGCACCACUUUUCUCAAGGACUGUUUUUAGUUUAGUUUCAUCAGAGAAAUCAAUGAAAAUUUUAUUUACUUUUAA